AGAUUGAACGCUGGCGGCAGGCCUAACACAUGCAAGUCGAGCGGUAGAGAGGUGCUUGCAUCUCUUGAGAGCGGCGGACGGGUGAGUAAUGCCUAGGAAUCUGCCUAGUGGUCGGGGGAUAACGGUUCGGAAACGGACGCUAAUACCGCAUACGUCCUACGGGAGAAAGGCGGGGGACCUUCGGGCCUCGCGCCAUUAGAUGAGCCUAGGUCGGAUUAGCUAGUGUGAGG
rnacentral:rRNA from 1 species